CCUACGGGGGGCUGCAGUGGGGAAUAUUGGACAAUGGGGGCAACCCUGAUCCAGCCAUGCCGCGUGUGUGAAGAAGGCCCUCGGGUUGUAAAGCACUUUCAGUGAGGAAGAACGCCUGGUGGUUAAUACCCAUCAGGAAAGACAUCACUCACAGAAGAAGCACCGGCUAACUCCGUGCCAGCAGCCGCGGUAAUACGGAGGGUGCGAGCGUUAAUCGGAAUUACUGGGCGUAAAGCGCGCGUAGGUGGCUUGAUAAGCCGGUUGUGAAAGCCCCGGGCUCAACCUGGGAACGGCAUCCGGAACUGUCAAGCUAGAGUGCAGGAGAGGAAGGUAGAAUUCCCGGUGGAGCGGUGAAAUGCGUAGAGAUCGGGAGGAAUACCAGUGGCGAAGGCGGCCUUCUGGACUGACACUGACACUGAGGUGCGAAAGCGUGGGUAGCAAACAGGAUUAGAUACCCGAGUAGUC
rnacentral:rRNA from 1 species